GAUGAACGCUGGCGGCGUGCCUAAUACAUGCAAGUCGAGCGAACGGACGAGAAGCUUGCUUCUCUGAUGUUAGCGGCGGACGGGUGUGUAACACGUGGAUAACCUACCUAUAAGACUGGGAUAACUUCGGGAAACCGGAGCUAAUACUGGAUAAUAUUUUGAACCGCAUGGUUCAAAAGUGAAAGACGGUCUUGCUGUCACUUAUAGAUGGAUCCGCGCUGCAUUAGCUAGUUGGUAAGGUAACGGCUUACCAAGGCAACGAUGCAUAGCCGACCUGAGAGGGUGAUCGGCCACACUGGAACUGAGACACGGUCCAGACUCCUACGGGAGGCAGCAGUAGGGAAUCUUCCGCAAUGGGCGAAAGCCUGACGGAGCAACGCCGCGUGAGUGAUGAAGGUCUUCGGAUCGUAAAACUCUGUUAUUAGGGAAGAACAUAUGUGUAAGUAACUGUGCACAUCUUGACGGUACCUAAUCAGAAAGCCACGGCUAACUACGUG
rnacentral:rRNA from 1 species